rnacentral:rRNA from 1 species
AGUGAACGCUGGCGGUAGGCCUAACACAUGCCAGUCGAACGGCAGCACAGUAAGAGCUUGCUCUUACGGGUGGCGAGUGGCGGACGGGUGAGGAAUACAUCGGAAUCUACUUUUUCGUGGGGGAUAACGUAGGGAAACUUACGCUAAUACCGCAUACGACCUACGGGUGAAAGCAGGGGAUCUUCGGACCUUGCGCGAUUGAAUGAGCCGAUGUCGGAUUAGCUAGUUGGCGGGGUAAAGGCCCACCAAGGCGACGAUCCGUAGCUGGUCUGAGAGGAUGAUCAGCCACACUGGAACUGAGACACGGUCCAGACUCCUACGGGAGGCAGCAGUGGGGAAUAUUGGACAAUGGGCGCAAGCCUGAUCCAGCCAUACCGCGUGAGUGAAGAAGGCCUUCGGGUUGUAAAGCCCUUUUGUUGGGAAAGAAAAGCAGCAGGUUAAUACCCGGCUGUUCUGACGGUACCAAAAGAAUAAGCACCGGCUAACUUCGUG